UACGUAGGGUGCAGGCGUUAAUCGGAAUUACUGGGCGUAAAGCGUGCGCAGGCGGUUUCUUAAGUCAGAUGUGAAAUGCCCGGGCUUAACCUGGGAACUGCAUUUGUGACUGCAUGGCUAGAGUUUGGCAGAGGGGGGUAGAAUUCCACGUGUAGCAGUGAAAUGCGUAGAGAUGCGGAGGAACACCGAUGGCGAAGGCAGCCCCCUGGGCCAAUACUGACGCUCAGGCACGAAAGCGUGGGGAGCAAACAGG
rnacentral:rRNA from 1 species